ensembl:snRNA U2 U2 spliceosomal RNA
AUUUUUUGAAUAAGAAUUUGAUUUGUAUAAUAAGAAUGGUAUUUGAACGUAAUAAAUUAUUUUUCAAAAAAAAAAAACAUAUUAAAUGGAUUUUUCGAACAGGGAGUUGGAAAUGGGGCCUGCUCCGUCCGCUCCACGCAUCGACCCGGUAUUGCAGUACCUCCGGGAACGGUGCAACACUU